rnacentral:rRNA from 1 species
AUUGUAUCGAAGCAUCCAGAGAUGGAUGUGUCUCUUCGGAGACGGUAUGACAGGUGCUGCAUGGCUGUCGUCAGCUCGUGCCGUGAGGUGUGGUUAAGUCCGCAACGAGCGCAACCCUAUCUUUAGUUGCCAUCAGUUCGGCUGGGCACUCUAUGGAGACUGCCACCUAAAGUGGAGGAAGGUGGGGAUGACGUCAAGUCAGCAUGGCCCUUACGUCCGGGGCUACACACGUGCUACAAUGGCCGAUACAGAGGGCAGCUACCUGGUGACAGGAUGCAAAUCUCCAAAGUCGGUCUCAGUUCGGAUCGGAGUCUGCAACCCGACUCCGUGAAGUUGGAUUCGCUAGUAAUCGCGCAUCAGCCAUGGCGCGGUGAAUACGUUCCCGGGCCUU